UACGGAGGGUGCAAGCGUUAAUCGGAAUUACUGGGCGUAAAGCGCACGCAGGCGGUUUGUUAAGUCAGAUGUGAAAUCCCCGAGCUUAACUUGGGAACUGCAUUUGAAACUGGCAAGCUAGAGUCUUGUAGAGGGGGGUAGAAUUCCAGGUGUAGCGGUGAAAUGCGUAGAGAUCUGGAGGAAUACCGGUGGCGAAGGCGGCUAUCUGGCCAAGUACUGACACUGAGACACGAAAGCGUGGGGAGCAAACAGG
rnacentral:rRNA from 1 species